rnacentral:rRNA from 1 species
CAGUCGCCGCGGGAAUACGUAGGUGGCAAGCGUUGUCCGGAAUUAUUGGGCGUAAAGCGCGCGCAGGCGGAUAGGUCAGUCUGCCUUAAAAGUUCGGGGCUUAACCCCGUGAUGGGAUGGAAACUGCCAAUCUAGAGUAUCGGAGAGGAAAGUGGAAUUCCUAGUGUAGCGGUGAAAUGCGUAGAUAUUAGGAAGAACACCAGUGGCGAAGGCGACUUUCUGGACGAAAACUGACGCUGAGGCGCGAAAGCCAGGGGUGCGAACGGGAUUAGAUACCCCCGUAGUCCCUGUCUCUUAUACA